rnacentral:rRNA from 1 species
GACGAACGCUGGCGGCGUGCUUAACACAUGCAAGUCGAACGGAAAGGCCCUGCUUUUGUGGGGUGCUCGAGUGGCGAACGGGUGAGUAACACGUGAGUAACCUGCCCUUGACUUUGGGAUAACUUCAGGAAACUGGGGCUAAUACCGGAUAGGAGCUCCUGCUGCAUGGUGGGGGUUGGAAAGUUUCGGCGGUUGGGGAUGGACUCGCGGCUUAUCAGCUUGUUGGUGGGGUAGUGGCUUACCAAGGCUUUGACGGGUAGCCGGCCUGAGAGGGUGACCGGCCACAUUGGGACUGAGAUACGGCCCAGACUCCUACGGGAGGCAGCAGUGGGGAAUAUUGCACAAUGGGCGGAAGCCUGAUGCAGCAACGCCGCGUGCGGGAUGACGGCCUUCGGGUUGUAAACCGCUUUCGCCUGUGACGAAGCGUGAGUGACGAUAAUGGGUAAAGAAGCACCGGCUAACUACGU